rnacentral:rRNA from 1 species
AAACUUAAAUGAAUUGACGGGACCGCACAAGCGGUGGAUGAUGUGGUUUAAUUCGAUGCAACGCGAAAACCUUACCCACCUUUGACAUGGCAGGAAUCCCGAAGAGAUUUGGGAGUGCUCGAAAGAGAACCUGCACACAGGUGCUGCAUGGCUGUCGUCAGCUCGUGUCGUGAGAUGUUGGGUUAAGUCCCGCAACGAGCGCAACCCUUGCCAUUAGUUGCUACGAAAGGGCACUCUAAUGGGACUGCCGGUGACAAACCGGAGGAAGGUGGGGAUGACGUCAAGUCCUCAUGGCCCUUAUAGGUGGGGCUACACACGUCAUACAAUGGCCGGUACAGAGGGUAGCCAACCCGCGAGGGGGAGCCAAUCCCACAAAGCCGGUCGUAGUCCGGAUCGCAGUCUGCAACUCGACUGCGUGAAGUCGGAAUCGCUAGUAAUCGCGGAUCAGCAUGUCGCGGUGAAUACGUUCCCGGGUCUU